AUGGGCUCUAUAAAGGACAGAAAUGGUAUGGACCUAACAGAAGCAGAAGAUAUUAAGAAGAGGUGGCAAAAAUACACAAAAGAACUGUACAAAAAAGACCUUCACAACCAAGAUAAUCACAAUGGUGUGAUCACUCACCUAGAGGCAGACAUCCUGGAAUGUGAAGGCAAGUGGGCCUUAGAAAGCAUCACUACAAACAAAGCUAGUGGAGGUGAUGGAAUUCCAGUGGAGCUAUUUCAAAUCCUGAAAGAUGAUGCUGUGAAAGUGCUGCACUCAAUAAGACAGCAAAUUUGGAAAACUGAGCAGUGGCCACAGGACUGGAAAAGGUCAGUUUUCAUUCCAAUCCCAAAGAAAGGCAAUGCCAAAGAAUGCUCAAACUACCGCACAGUUGCACUCAUCUCACAUGCUAGUAAAGUAAUGCUCGAACUUCUCCAAGCCAGGCUUCAGCAAUACGUGAACCGUGAACUUCCAGAUGUUCAAGUUGGUUUUAGAAAAGGCAGAGGAACCAGAGAUCAAAUUGCGAACAUCUCCUGGAUCAUGGAAAAAGCAAGAGAGUUCCAGAAAAACAUUUAUUUCUGCUUUAUUGACUAUGCCAAAGCCUUUGACUGUGUAGAUCACAAUAAACUGAGGAAAAUUCUGAAAGAGAUAGGAAUACCAGACCGUCUGACCUGUCUAUUGAGAAACCUAUACACAGGUCAGGAAGCAACAGUUAGAACUGGACAUGGAACAACAGACUGCUUCCAAAUAGGAAAAGGAGUACGUCAAGGCUGUAUAUUGUCACCCUGCUUAUUUAACUUACAUGCAGAGUACAUCAUGAGAAACACUGGGCUGGAUGAAGCACAAGCUGGAAUCAAGUUUGCCAGGAGAAAUAUCAAUAACCUCAGAUAUGCAGAUGACACCACCUUUAUGGAAGAAAGUGAAGAGGAACUCAAAAGCCUCUUGAUGAAAGUGAAAGAGAAAAGUGAAAAAGUUGGCUUAAAGCUCAACAUUCAGAAAACAAAGAUCAUGGCAUCUGGUCCCAUCACUUCAUGGGAAAUAAAUGGGGAAACAGUGGAAACAGCGUCAGACUUUAUUUUUUUGGUCUCCAAAAUCACUGCGGAUGGUGACUGCAGCCAUAAAAUUAAAAGAUGGUUACUCCUUGGAAGAAAAGUUAUGACCAACCUAGAUAGCAUAUUCAAAAGCAGAGACAUUACUUUGCCAACGAAGGUUCGUCUAGCCACAGCUAUGGUUUUUCCAGUGGUCAUGUAUGGAUGUGAGAGUUGGACUGUGAAGUAA
rnacentral:lncRNA from 1 species